AUUGAACGCUGGCGGCAGGCUUAACACAUGCAAGUCGAGCGGUAGCACAGGGGAGCUUGCUCCCUGGGUGACGAGCGGCGGACGGGAGAGUAAUGUCUGGGAAACGGCCUGAGGGAGGGGGAUAACUACUGGAAACGGUAGCUAAUACCGCAUAACGUCGCAAGACCAAAGAGGGGGACCUUCGGGCCUCUUGCCAUCAGAUGUGCCCAGAUGGGAUUAGCUGGUUGGUGGGGUAAUGGCUCACCUAGGCGACGAUCCCUAGCUGGUCUGAGAGGGUGACCAGCCACACUGGAACUGAGACGCGGUCCAGACUCCUACGGGAGGCAGCGGUGGGGAAUAUUGCACGAAGGGCGCAAGCCUGAUGCAGCCAUGCCGCGUGUGUGAAGAAGGCCUUCGGGUUGUAUAGCACUUUCCGCGAGGAGGAAGGUUGUGAGCUUAAUACGUUCUUGAAUUGACGUUACUCGCAGAAGAAGCACCGGCUAACUCCGUG
rnacentral:rRNA from 1 species